GUGAGAAAGACGACCAGCACGAAUCAUUUCGUCUUGGUUUUGAAUGAGAAGCUUGACACGCUCAAUGGGAGCGGCAGCGGUUUUAGAUACAGCAGCAGAAACACCACCCAUCAUGAAAUCAAAGAAGAAAGUAGAGUUCUUUGUUUCAGUGAUGGUGUUUGCAUUCACGGGGGUGCUAGCAGCAGCGGCAGCAGAUGAAGUAGCCAUUUUUCACUAAUUCUGGUAAAUAGAUAAGUUCAAAUGUACGAAAAAAAAAGAGAUAAAGAGAUGAAGCCUUAGCACAACAACAAGAAAAUGAU